CUGAAAUAGUCAGACUACUCCUAGACAAAGGCGCCCAACCUGACAAGAGUGAUGCGCUAAAAGUAGCCACAUCCCAUAGACUUUCAGCAAUAGUCAGAGUUCUCCUUGACGGAGGCGCCGAUCCUGAUAAGGGUGAUGCACUGACAAAAGCUGUAACUGAGGGCUAUACUGAAAUAGUCAGACUACUCCUAGACAAAGGCGCCCAACCUGACAAGGU